rnacentral:SRP_RNA from 10 species
GCCAGGCAUGGUACUACAUGCCUGUAGUCCCAGCUACCUGGGAGACUAAAGCAGGAAAAUUGCUUGAGUCCAGGAGUUUGAGGCCACAGUGAACUAUGAACAUGCCACUGCACUCUAGCCUGGGCAACAGGAAAUAGAGUGAGACCCCAUCUCAAAAAAAAAAAAAAAAGUUCACCAUCAAUAUGUUGACCUCCCAGGAGCAGGAGACCACUAGGUUGCCUAAGGAGAGGUUAAUCGGCCCAAGUCAGAAAAAGAGCAGGCCAAAAAUCCCAUGCUGAUGUGUAGUGGGCUAACACUUGUGAAGCCACUGUGCUCCACCCUGGGCAAUAUAACAAGACCUCAUUUCU